GUGCUUGAUUUGGCAGCACAUGUAAUAAAAUUGAAAUGAUACAGAGAAUGUUAACAUAGUCCCUGUGCAAGGAUGACACUCAAAUUUGUGAAGUGUUCCAUAUUUUA
ensembl:snRNA U6 U6 spliceosomal RNA